rnacentral:rRNA from 1 species
UACGUAGGGGGCAAGCGUUGUCCGGAUUUAUUGGGCGUAAAGAGCGUGUAGGCGGCCUUACAGGUCAGCUGUGAAAACUCGAGGCUCAACCUCGAGACGUCGGUUGAAACCGUAAGGCUAGAGUCCGGAAGAGGAGAGUGGAAUUCCCGGUGUAGCGGUGAAAUGCGCAGAUAUCGGGAAGAACACCCGUGGCGAAGGCGGCUCUCUGGGACGGUACUGACGCUGAGACGCGAACGCGUGGGGAGCGAACAGG